rnacentral:rRNA from 1 species
CCUACGGGAGGCAGCAGUGAGGAAUAUUGGUCAAUGGACGAGAGUCUGAACCAGCCAAGUAGCGUGAAGGAUGACUGCCCUAUGGGUUGUAAACUUCUUUUAUAUGGGAAUAAAAUGUUCCACGUGUGGGAUUUUGUAUGUACCAUAUGAAUAAGGAUCGGCCAACUCCGUGCCAGCAGCCGCGGUAAUACGGAGGAUCCGAGCGUUAUCCGGAUUUAUUGGGUUUAAAGGGAGCGUAGGUGGUUUGUUAAGUCAGUUGUGAAAGUUUGCGGCUCAACCGUAAAAUUGCAGUUGAAACUGGCAGUCUUGAGUACAGUAGAGGUGAGCGGAAUUCGUGGUGUAGCGGUGAAAUGCUUAGAUAUCACGAAGAACUCCGAUUGCGAAGGCAGCUCACUGGACUGCAACUGACACUGAGGCUCGAAAGUGUGGGGAUCAAACAGGAUUAGAUACCCUUGUAGUC